UUGGAGGCAGAUGGCUGAUAAUUACUGAAACAAUUCUGACUUUGUACAAAAAAAAAUUUCUCAACGAGGUUAGUUAAUGGUUAUCAUGAUUGCAACAUGGCCAAUUCCUUUCAUCU
rnacentral:miRNA from 1 species